UGUAUCUUGGUUCAACCCAGUAAAAAGAGAUGAGUUGAAGUUGAAUUAGAUGGUUAUCACUACCAAACUAGAAUGGGGCUGCUAUCAAGUAGAGACAUCAACGUCUGUCGAUCUCGGUCCCUCGCCCUUGGCGGUGAAUGCAGCCACUUGUAUGGUAUAUCCCGUGUAGACAUCAAGCCCCCGCAACAAAACCCGCACCUCGCUUGGUCCCGUCUGGUUGCUAAGAUACGCCGUGCUAUGGACGCUCUUGAAGUACACCCUGUAACCUAGCAACACGCCUCGCACGUGACCGGACCAGUCCCCUUGGUGGUAAAUGCCACCAGCGUGAUGUCAUAAACAGUGAACGCCUUGAGGCCACGUAACGCCAACUCCGUGGAAUUUGGCGGGGCGUGGAUUACAGAACGAGAUACGUUCAGAGAAGCAAAU